UAGGCUUUCCCUGUGUUCUGAUAAAUGUCUUCCUCGCUGUCCUGCUCUAUGGGCUGCCAGGUGUUUUGGGGCUGAGAGGUCUCCUUGGGUUGCCAGGUGUCUUUGGGUUGCCAGGUGUCUUUGGGCUGCCAGGUGUCUUUGGGCUGCCAGGUGUCUUUGGGCUGCAAGGUGUCUUUGGUGCGGGGGCAGAUUUUAUGGGGUUGUGCGUAGAUGUAGUCGGAGGGAGGGGGCGCAGAGAGGGGCCGAAUUGGAAGCUCCUCCAUGACACUUUCGCGGUGUGAGCAGAUGGGUGCCAUGCUAUGUAGUCUUUCUCGCUGCUCACACACAUCAAGUCUGAGGAGCAGAAAAAGUGAAAGGUCAAAAAAAACAAAAGAAAGAAAAUUUGCCGGGAUAUGAUUGUAAAUUCAGAUCUUACUGUGCGUCCUCAGAGACGGAGGUCGGGGAGGCAGAGAGAUGCAUGGCCUGCCAGAGGUAUCCCACCCACUCCUUCCUGAGGUCCUCCGUCUCUGCUGCCUGCACCACACACACGCGUCCAGUGGUUGAAGAGGGAAAAGGAUUGAACUUACAAUUGAC
ensembl:lncRNA